CUCGAACAUCAUGAGAGGUACAGCCUGCCCAGUGACCCAAUGUUCAACGGCCGCGGUAUCCUAACCGUGCGAAGGUAGCGUAAUCACUUGUUCUUUAAAUGAGGACUAGUAUGAAUGGCAUCACGAGGGUUAUACUGUCUCCUUUUUCCAAUCAGUGAAACUAAUCUCCUCGUGAAGAAGCGAGGAUUAUCUUAUAAGACGAGAAGACCCUAUGGAGCUUUAAACUAACCAGCAUUUGCUAUAUUAUAAAAUUUUUCAGAAUAUAUAAAAAACAGCUUAGCUCUUUGACUAUAAGUUUUCGAUUGGGGUGAUCACGGAACAAAAAAUAACUUCCGUGCCGAAAGGACUAUUCCUGAGCCAAAAGUGACAACCUUAAGCACUAAAAAAUUAACGCCUAUUGACCCAAUAAUUUGAUCAACGAAC
rnacentral:rRNA from 1 species